rnacentral:rRNA from 1 species
GGUUGGCUCAGAAGCAGCCAUCCUUUAAAGAGUGCGUAACAGCUCACUAGUCGAGUGACCCUGCGCCGAAAAUGUACCGGGGCUAAGCCUGAUACCGAAACUGCGGAUUGUAGGAAACUAUAGUGGUAGGGGAGCGUUGUAUACGAGCAGAAGCCGUACCGUGAGGAGCGGUGGAUUGUAUAGAAGUGAGAAUGCCGGUGUGAGUAGCGAGAUGUAGGUGAGAAUCCUACACACCGAAAGCCCAAGGAUUCCAGGGGAAGGUUCGUCCGCCCUGGGUAAGUCGGGACCUAACGCGAGGCCGAAAGGCGUAGUGGAUGGAAAGCAGGCGAAAGAUUCCUGCACCCGUAUAUGGAGCGAAGGAGUGACGGAGACGGAUAGUGUGACCCUCUUAAUGGAUUGAGGGCGAAGCGAAGCGGCUGGUUACCAGGCAAAUCCGGUAACCAAAAGGCUAGAGCGUGACAGGUAAGCGAAAUCUUAGGAAAGUAGCGAAGCACAUGAUGACGGCUUCCAGGAAAAGCUUCUGGCAAUGCAUAUGCGGCCCGUACCAAAACCGACACAGGUGGGCAGGGAGAGAAUCCCGAGGUGAGCGAGAGAACUGUUGCCAAGGAACUCGGCAAAAUGACUCCGUAAGUUAGCGAGAAGGAGUGCUUAAGCAAUUAAGCCGCAGUGAAGAGGCCCAAGCGACUGUUUAACUAAAACACAGCUCUCUGCGAAGUCGCAAGACGAAGUAUAGGGGGUGACACCUGCCCGGUGCUGGAAGGUUAAGAGGAUCUGUUAAGAGCGAUCUGAAGCAGUGAUCCGAAGCCCCAGUGAACGGCGGCCGUAACUAUAACGGUCCUAAGGUAGCGAAAUUCCUUGUCAGGUAAGUUCUGACCCGCACGAAAGGUGUAACGAUUUGGGCGCUGUCUCGGCAGCAGACUCGGUGAAAUCUUAGUACCUGUGAAAAUGCAGGUUACCCGCAACUAGACGGAAAGACCCCAUGGAGCUUUACUGCAGCCUGAUAUUGAAUUCUGGUCAUACAUGUACAGGAUAGGUGGGAGACAAAGAGACGUGCACGCCAGUGUACGAGGAGUCGACGUUGGGAUACCACUCUUGUGUGACCGGGGUUCUAACCUGGUAUCGAGAACAGGUACGGGGAGAGUGUCAGGUGGGCAGUUUGACUGGGGCGGUCGCCUCCCAAAGAGUAACGGAGGCGCCCAAAGGUACGCUCAGAUUGGAUGGAAACCAAUCGUCGAGUGCAAUUGCAGAAGCGUGCUUGACUGUGAGACAAACAAGUCGAACAGGGACGAAAGUCGGGAAUAGUGAUCCGGCGGUGCCGAAUGGAAGGGCCGUCGCUCAACGGAUAAAAGCUACCCUGGGGAUAACAGGCUGAUCUCGCCCAAGAGUUCACAUCGACGGCGAGGUUUGGCACCUCGAUGUCGGCUCAUCGCAUCCUGGAGCUGGAUUCGGUUCCAAGGGUUGGGCUGUCCGCCCAUUAAAGCGGUACGCGAGCUGGGUUCAGAACGUCGUGAGACAGUUCGGUCCCUAUCCGGCGCGGGCGGAGGAUAUUUGAGAGGAGCUGUCCUUAGUACGAGAGGACCGGGAUGGACGGACCACUGGUGUAUCUGUUGUCGACCAACGGCAUGGCAGAGUAGCCAAGUCUGGAAGGGAUAAACGCUGAAGGCAUCUAAGCGUGAAGCCCCCCUCAAGAUGAGAUAUCCCUCCUUCGGGAGUAAGACCCCUUGA